UGAGGAAUCUUGCGCAAUGGGGGAAACCCUGACGCAGCAACGCCGCGUGAGUGAGGAAGGUCUUCGGGUCGUAAAGCUCUGUCAGGCGGGAAGAAAUGCAUGGAGGUGAACAGCCGCCAUGCUUGACGGUACCGCCAGAGGAAGCACCGGCUAACUCCGUGCCCGCAGCCGCGGUAAUACUGUGGGUGCAAGCGUCGUUCGGAAUCUUUGGGCGAAAAGCCCGUGUGGGCGGCGUGGUAAGUCAAAUAGGAAAGCCCUGGGCUCAAACCGGGAAGUGCGUUUGAAACUGCCAGGCUCGAGUAGGGGAGAGGGA
rnacentral:rRNA from 1 species